rnacentral:rRNA from 1 species
UACGGAGGGUGCAAGCGUUAUCCGGAAUCACUGGGUUUAAAGGGUGCGUAGGCGGCUAAAUAAGUCAGAGGUGAAAUCUUUCCGCUUAACGGGAAAAUUGCCUUUGAAACUGUAUAGCUUGAAUGAAGUUGAGGUUAGCGGAAUGUGACAUGUAGCGGUGAAAUGCAUAGAUAUGUCAUAGAACACCAAAUGCGAAGGCA